rnacentral:lncRNA from 10 species
CUCGUGGGGGUACUCUUCCGAGGAUAUCUGGGCUGCCUCCGGAGUCGCAGUGUCUUGGGCCGCCUGAAGAUAUUAUUUCCCCCUGAUGCUUUCCUGAAAGCUCCUGCAAUCAACUACAGGUCAGAAUGUUCGUCUCCAAGACAGGACUCCCUCUGAGACUCACAGAAAAGACUAUGACAGGUACUCUGGUUAUAGGCUUCUGAUGAUAUUGCUUAAAUAACUUUAAGACCAUACACUUGACUCAGUUAAGGUCUCCAGAAGUCCGGUUGGGAAACUGAUGGGUUCAUGACACUGCUAACUCAAGAUCCACAAGACUGGAAUUGAUUACAUGGCACUGAAUGAACUGAUGAAAAUUGAUUAUAAUUGUAUAGCUUUUUGGAGCAUUGCUGGUUAAUAUUCUAGUUUCUGGAUUUAAGAAAUCUCUUUCUCUUACUCUAACUGUAACUUACAACAAUUUAGUAGAUUAUACUUUUGUAAACAGAAAUGAAGCGUUUAUCUUUUUUUCUUGCCUGAUUUUUCCAGAAUUUUGAAAUCCUUACUGAAUACUCUUAUUUCCACGAUGAUAUAGUUGUUAGCAAAAGUCCAAUAAGAAUCUAUUCACCUUAUAACAGGACAUAAUUGGAAAUUUUGGUUAUAUUAUCAAGGUUUUUACUGGAACAUCAUAAUUAGGAAGUGUACCUAAGAUCAGUUAUGACCAGCAAUUUUAAGGAAGUAAGGUUCACUUUUAUGGAGACAAUGCUUACAAAGCACUGUGGAAAACUUUGAGGAAAGUUCUUCCUCAAAGAUUAUAAAGUCACAACUACCCACUAUUUUUAUAUGUGUGUGUGUGUGUGUGUGUGUGUGUGUGUGUGUGUGUGUUCCAAAUCACUUGUCCUAGCUUGCUCCAGCAUGCCUGGACAGAACUAGACAAGCCCCAGCCCAUACUGCAUGCCAUUCCUUAUUUGGAGAUGCUUCCUUAACUAUCCCUGGGCAACUUCCUUUUCUUUCUUUCUUCUAUUCCCCUUACCUAAUUAAGAAAGUUUUAAACAAACAGCCAAUCGGGUAAAGUGUAAAAUGGGAGGUCCUAUUCCAGCCAAUGGAAACUGGACACAGCAGUAGGGUAGACACGUCAGGUUAUAAGUAACUCUGUCUCCUUUGUUUGGUGUGCUCUUGUAGCUGGACAGCUAUUGAGUAGCACCCUUUGUGCAGAAAAAUAAAGCUCGCCUUGCUAAGAGAUCAUUUGUUCCCAUGUUAGUUCUUUUUUUGGGGGGGGGAACAUAAAAAACUUCAUUCCCAACAGCACUCUGAGAAAACCCAGCCUGAUACCUAGAUUACAGGGUUCACAGCCUUAUAGGUUAGUAAGGAAGGUCAUUUCCUGGUAGGCCCAGGAAUUUAGGGAUAUUUUGGGGCCUCAAGAAGAGAGGAAUUCACACAAAGCUAUAAGGACUGCAGCUGAAAUUUGAUAGCAUGUUCUUGGCUUGGCUUUUAGCCUGAAUAAGGCCUUUAAAAGUCAAAUCUGAGAUUCUGUAUGAAAACUUCCAGCAAAGAAACCUGAAAGCACCUACGUGGUCAUCUCCUGUUCUUGCUGCACUUACGUAAAUAAUCAAGCAAAAUCUAACAAAACUAGACUUAUUUUUAAAACAAGAAUAGUCUUACUUU